rnacentral:rRNA from 1 species
AGUGAACGCUGGCGGUAGGCCUAACACAUGCAAGUCGAACGGCAGCACAGUAAGAGCUUGCUCUUACGGGUGGCGAGUGGCGGACGGGUGAGGAAUACAUCGGAAUCUACUUUUUCGGGGGGGAUAACGUAGGGAAACUUACGCUAAUGCCGCAUACGACCUACGGGUGAAAGCAGGGGAUCUUCGGACCUUGCGCGAUUGAAUGAGCCGAUGUCGGAUUAGCUAGUUGGCGGGGUAAAGGCCCACCAAGGCGACGAUCCGUAGCUGGUCUGAGAGGAUGAUCAGCCACACUGGAACUGAGACACGGUCCGGACUCCUACGGGAGGCAGCAGUGGGGAAUAUUGGACAAUGGGCGCAAGCCUGAUCCAGCCAUACCGCGUGGGUGAAGAAGGCCUUCGGGUUGUAAAGCCCUUUUGUUGGGAAAGAAAAGCAGCAGGUUAAUACCCCGCUGUUCUGACGGUACCCAAAGAAUAAGCACCGGCUAACUUCGUG